AGCGAACGCUGGCGGCAGGCCUAACACAUGCAAGUCGAACGAACCUUUCGGGGUUAGUGGCGGACGGGUGAGUAACACGUGGGAACGUGCCUUUAGGUUCGGAAUAACUCAGGGAAACUUGUGCUAAUACCGAAUGUGCCCUUCGGGGGAAAGAUCUAUCGCCUUUAGAGCGGCCCGCGUCUGAUUAGCUAGUUGGUUGAGGUAAUGGCUCACCAGGGCGACGAUCAGUAGCUGGUCUGAGAGGAUGAUCAGCCACAUUGGGACUGAGACACGGCCCAAACUCCUACGGGAGGCAGCAGUGGGGAAUCUUGCGCAAUGGGCGAAAGCCUGACGCAGCCAUGCCGCGUGAAUGAUGAAGGUCUUAGGAUUGUAAAAUUCUUUCACCGGGGACGAUAAUGACGGUACCCGGAGAAGAAGCCCCGGCUAACUUCGUG
rnacentral:rRNA from 1 species